CACGCUGUAAACGAUAAUCACUAGAUGUUGGCUCUGUUUGACAGAGUCAGUAUCGUAGCUAACGCGUUAAGUGAUUCACCUGGGGACUACGGUCGCAAGAUUAAAACUCAAAGGAAUUGACGGGGGUCCGCACAAGCGGUGGAACAUGUGGUUUAAUUCGACACUACGCGAGGAACCUUACCUAGGCUUGACAUGUAUUUGACCGUCGUAGAAAUACGAUUUUCUAGGCUUCGGUCUAGACAGAUACACAGGUGC
rnacentral:rRNA from 1 species